AUUGAACGCUGGCGGCAUGCCUUACACAUGCAAGUCGAACGGCAGCGCGGACUUCGGUCUGGCGGCGAGUGGCGAACGGGUGAGUAAUACAUCGGAACGUACCCUGUUGUGGGGGAUAACUAGUCGAAAGAUUAGCUAAUACCGCAUACGACCUGAGGUUGAAAGUGGGGGACCGCAAGACACCACGCAGCAGGAGCGGCCGAUGUCUGAUUAGCUAGUUGGUGGGGUAAAGGCCGACCAAGGCGACGAUCAGUAGCUGGUCUGAGAGGACGAUCAGCCACACUGGGACUGAGACACGGCCCAGACUCCUACGGGAGGCAGCAGUGGGGAAUUUUGGACAAUGGGGGCAACCCUGAUCCAGCAAUGCCGCGUGUGUGAAGAAGGCCUUCGGGUUGUAAAGCACUUUUGUCCGGAAAGAAAUCGCGCUGGUUAAUACCUGGCGUGGAUGACGGUACCGGAAGAAUAAGCACCGGCUAACUACGUGCCAGCCGCCGCCGUAA
rnacentral:rRNA from 1 species